GAUUGAGUAGCUGGGUCAAAUGGUGGUUCCAUUCCAAGUUUUCUAAGAAAUCACCAUACUGCUUUCCAGAUUCGUUGCACCAGUUUGCAGUCCCACCAGUAAU
rnacentral:pre_miRNA from 1 species